rnacentral:rRNA from 1 species
UCCGGGCCCUACGGGGCGCAGCAGGCGCGAAACCUUUACACUGCACGACAGUGCGAUAGGGGGAUCCCAAGUGCACAGGCAUAGCGCCUGUGCUUUUCGGUACCGUAAGGUGGUGCCAGAAUAAGGGCUGGGCAAGACCGGUGCCAGCCGCCGCGGUAAUACCGGCAGCCCAAGUGAUGGCCGAUCUUAUUGGGCCUAAAGCGUCCGUAGCUGGCCGCGCAAGUCCAUCGGGAAAUCCACCUGCUCAACAGGUGGGCGCCCGGUAGAAACUGCGUGGCUUGGGACCGGAAGGCGCGACGGGUACGUCCGGGGUAGGAGUGAAAUCCCGUAAUCCUGGACGGACCGCCGAUGGCGAAAGCACGUCGCGAGAACGGAUCCGACAGUGAGGGACGAAAGCCAGGGUCUCGAACCGGAUUAGAUACCCGGGUAGUCCUGGCCGUAAACAAUGCCUGCUAGGUGUGGCUCCCACUACGAGUGGGUGCUGUGCCGUAGGGAAGCCGCUAAGCAGGCCGCCUGGGAAGUACGUCCGCAAGGAUGAAACUUAAAGGAAUUGGCGGGGGAGCAC